GAGUGGCGGACGGGUGAGUAACGCGUGGGUAACCUGCCCUGUACAGGGGGACAACAGUUAGAAAUGACUGCUAAUACCGCAUAAGCGCACAGUACCGCAUGGUACAGUGCGAAAAACUCCGGUGGUACAGGAUGGGCCCGCGUCUGAUUAGUUAGUUGGCGGGGUAACGGCCCACCAAGACGACGAUCAGUAGCCGGCUUGAGAGAGUGAACGGCCACAUUGGGACUGAGACACGGCCCAAACUCC
rnacentral:rRNA from 1 species